UGGGGAAUCUUGCACAAUGGGGGCAACCCUGAUGCAGCGACGCCGCAUGAGCGAUGAAGCCCUUCGGGGCGUAAAGCUCUUUCGACCGGAACGAUAAUGACGGUACCGGGAGAAGAAGCUGCGGCUAACUACGUGCCAGCAGCCGCGGUAAUACGUAGGCAGCAAGCGUUGUUCGGAGUUACUGGGCGUAAAGAGUGCGUAGGCGGUUUUCUAAGUUCGGUGUGAAAUCUCCCGGCUUAACUGGGAGGGUGCGCCGAAGACUGGGAAGCUGGAUUGUGGGAAAGGCAGGCGGAAUUCCUGGUGUAGCUGUGAAAUGCGUAGAUAUCAGGAGGAACACCGGCGGUGUAGACGGCUUGCUAGACCAUAACUGACGCUGAGGCACGAAAGCGUGGGUAGCAAACA
rnacentral:rRNA from 1 species